rnacentral:rRNA from 1 species
UUUAUGGAGAGUUUGAUCCUGGCUCAGGAUGAACGCUGGCGGCGUGCCUAAUACAUGCAAGUCGAGCGAACGGACGAGAAGCUUGCUUCUCUGAUGUUAGCGGCGGACGGGUGAGUAACACGUGGAUAACCUACCUAUAAGACUGGGAUAACUUCGGGAAACCGGAGCUAAUACCGGAUAAUAUUUUGAACCGCAUGGUUCAAAAGUGAAAGACGGUCUUGCUGUCACUUAUAGAUGGAUCCGCGCUGCAUUAGCUAGUUGGUAAGG